rnacentral:misc_RNA from 1 species
AACCUAGCACACCUGCGGUGUGUACCUGCGGAGGGAUCAUUACCUAGAGUUGUAGGCUUUGCCUGCUAUCUCUUACCCAUGUCUUUUGAGUACCUUACGUUUCCUCGGCGGGUUCGCCCGCCGGUUGGACAAAACUUAAACCCUUUGUAGUUGCAAUCAGCGUCUGAAAAAACUUAAUAGUUACAACUUUUAACAACGGAUCU